AUUAUUGUCUAGUUUCCUCCAAGAACCUGGCUUUGAAUUAACAUGAUGUCUUAUUAUUAGUCCUGUUUUCAUUGAUCAAAAUCAAAGCUAAAGUCAAAAGCAUCUUGUCAAGUAAUUUGAAUUGUUCAACAGUGCAACUUCAACAUAUAUAGCAUCUUCAUAUACAGUGCUUCACCCUCAUCAUUCAUCUGUUUAUUUUCCAGCACGUGCGCCACGACACCCUCGCCGGAGGUGAGGUGUGAGUGGAAAUCUUGUGAAGGAUCAGAGUAUAAAAGAUAUGGCAGGAAACUUCAGAUUCACAAUGGACCAAAAGGAUAUUGUUAGAAUCUUGACAACAACCAUCGAUAGUUUCAUUCAGGAUCGAUUAAUCGACAAAGAACUAAGAGCUCAGCACAAAGAACAGUGUGCAGAGAGGUUAGCAGCUGAAGAUGGAAGUUCUGAAAAAGACACUGAGGUAGAGUACUCUGAUCAAGCAGUGUUAGCAAAUCUUGAUUGGGGUAUCGAGGCACUUGAAGAAGCUAUCAAUACCUAUAACACGGAAACUAAGCUUGCGAGACUCGAUUAUGCUGAGAAGAUGCUGCAAGUUUGUGCAAUGCUGAAUCCUAAGCAAAAGACUGCUGGAGUGCCAAACUUCUACCUUUCAGCUUGGGCACAUUUGAACCUAUCAUACCUAUGGAAGUUGAGGAACAACAUUCAGAAUUGUGUUCUUCAUGCCAUUGACAUGUUCAUCGUUGAUCCUUUUUUCGCUCGGAUUGACUUUGCUCCAGAACUCUGGAAAACUCUCUUCCUUCCACACACGAGCUCUAUUGUAGGGUGGUAUUCAGAGGAGAGGCACAAACUUAUGAUGGAAGUAAUACCUGAAACUUCUGAUUUUUCAGUCACAGCUGAUUUUGAUCAACUUUUCAAUGAAUCCUUGGUAUUCUCUCUGAGGCCAAAUCAGUUAGAUAAGUUGCAAAAACUGGAGCAGCUUUAUGGAGAGUCUUUGGACGAGAACACGCGGCUAUAUGCAAAGUACUAUAAGGACUGCAUGAACUCUGAUUCCACUACCUCAGGCAAGAAGGUUGUUCCCAUGUUGCCAAUUGCUGAGCCGCCAAUGACUCCUUUGCAUGAGUUGAGCAGGUCGGUUCCAGAUUAUGUGAAAUUCGGUCCGAUUUUGCCUAAGAGUGCUGGCUUUUCUUUGAUGUCAAUGCCAAAAGAUGGUGUAAAUGAAAAAACCAGAGAUAAACCAUCGAGCCAUUCCAAGGUGGAAAACUCAUCUAUAUGGGGUACUAAGGAGAGCAUCAUUGAAGAGAAUGAAAAUGAAAAUGAAAAUGAAGAAGAUUCAGAUUCUGAUCUUGAUGAUGCAUCUGUGGGUUCUCCUAACAAAAAUAAUGUUUUCUCGCCUGAAAGGAAGGCGAUCAAGGACAAUAAUAUUGAGCCAAAAGUGCAUCUAUCAAACCAAAGGAGUAAAAUAUACUCUCCUAGUAUCUCCUCUCCCUUGGACUCUCCAAGAACUCCUCAAGACAAGUCGUCAUUAAAUCCUCAUAUGCGCAGCAAAAGAGAGCCGAAGUACUUGUGCUUAUUGUCUAGUCGUUUAAGGGAUUCGAUCAUUUCUGACUCUUUAACAUCAUCACCAGACCUGAGCACUGAUCACAUUAUGAACUCUGAUCAUGAAAUGAUGGUGAACAUUAAGAAGAAAGACUAUAAUCGAAUUCCAUGUAUGAGUUAUGAAAAUGAGGAUAGCCUGGUGCUAAAUGACAGUUCUUUUUGUGAAAGUGAUGAGGGAUAUCAUGGCUGCAUUUCAUUGCCCAAAAUAGAGAAGCAGACUACCGGAUCAAAGCCGCCAAAAGAUUUUGUAUGUCCAAUCACAGGUCAGAUAUUUUGUGAUCCUGUUACCCUUGAAACAGGCCAGACCUAUGAAAGAAAAGCUAUUCAAGAAUGGCUUAAAACAGGAAACACAACAUGCCCCAUCACGCGACAGCCUCUAUCCGCAAGCAUGUUACCCAAAACAAACUAUGUUUUGAAGAGAUUGAUAACAUCCUGGAAGGAACAACAUCCUGAACUAGCUCAGGAGUUCUCAAAUUCUAACACUAACACACCAAGGGGUUCUUCUUGUUCUCCAUUGCAGAAAGACAACUCAAUGCUGUCCAUUUUACAAAGAACACCCGACUCAAUGACUCAUAAGAACAAAGCGGAUUAUAUCAUACAAAGGAGCAAGAGAUUUAUACAGGUUGCUGCAACAUCUCCAACUAGUGUGCUAUCUCAAGCUGCAGUUGAAACAAUCAUGAAUUCCAUGAAACCAUACAUUUCAAGUCUCUGCACAUCAGAAAAUUUACAAGAAUGUGAAGAAGCUGUAUUGGAAAUUGCUAGAUCAUGGAAGGAUGCAAAGAGUGAUCCUCAGAUUCAUUCUUAUUUAUCAAAACCAACUGUCAUAAACGGUUUAAUGGAAAUACUUUCAGCUUCUCUGAAUGGAGAAGUUCUGAGGACAACAAUUUACAUCCUUACAGAGCUAAUUUUUCUAGACGAAAGUGUCGGAGAGAUACUUAACAGUGUAGAUUCUGAUUUUGAUUGUUUGGCUGCUCUGCUCAAGAAUGGUUUGGCUGAGGCAGCACUUCUGAUUUAUCAGCUAAGACCAGUUUUUGCUCAGCUAUCAGCCCAUGAGCUUAUACCAUCUCUAGUCCAAGUGAUUCAGAACAAAAAUGAGGAGUUGGAUGAUUUUCAAUUAGUUAUGGACCCGAAAGAUGCCGCCAUAGCAAUUCUUGAACAAAUAUUAGCCGGAGGGGAUGAAUACAGCAGGUCCCUUAAUGCUUUGAGUGUUAUUUCAGCAAAUGGAAUUCCGGCAUUGGUAAAAUAUUUCGAGAGGAUGGAGGUAAGGACGUCUGUUGUUUCCAUACUUUUGUGUUGUAUGCAAGCUGAAAGAAGUUGCAAGAACUUGAUAGCAAGUCGAGUCGAAUUGUCUCCUGUUCUUGAAUUAUUUCAUGGUGGAAAUGAUAGUGUGAAAGGCGUCUGCGCAGAAUUUCUCUCCGAGCUGGUUCAAUUGAAUAGGAGAACUUUCUGCAACCAAAUCUUACAGAUAAUCAAGGAUGAAGGAGCAUUUAGUACAAUGCAUACGUUUCUUGUAUAUCUUCAGAUGGCUCCAAUGGAGCAUCAGCUUGCUGUUGCCAGUCUUCUUCUCCAGCUUGAUCUUCUGGUGGAGCCACGAAAGAUGAGCAUUUAUAGGGAAGAAGCUGUAGAGACACUAAUUGAAGCACUUUGGCAAAAAGACUUCUCAAAUACUCAAAUUAAGGCUUUAGAUGCUUUACUAUAUCUUAUUGGACAUGUCACUUCCUCAGGAAAGUCAUAUACUGAAGCCUGGUUGCUCAAGAUCGCAGGAUUCGAUCAGCCUUACAACGCUUUAAUGAAGGCCGAACAAUUGGGACAACGUGACAAUGAUUUGGUGGAAACAAUGGAGGAUGAGAAAAAUGCAUUGAAUUCUUGGCAGAAAAAGGUUGCAUUUGUACUUUGCAACCAUGAAAAUGGUUCAAUAUUUAAAGCAUUGGAAGAAUGCUUAAGGAGUACUUCCCUAGAGAUGGCAAAAUCUUGCCUUGUUCUGGCAACAUGGCUUACACACAUGCUCUCUACGCUUCCUGACACCGGUAUAAGGGACAUUGCUCGUGAGUCAUUGCUUGAUGAAUUCAUAAAUGUUCUACUGUCAUCAAAGAACAUGGAGGAAAAGAUUCUUGCUAACCUAGCUUUGAAUACUUUCAUUAGUGAUCCAAUUGCUCAUGAAGCACUUGGAGGCUAUGCUAAAAGCAUUUAUAGGACCUUGAGGAAGCUAAAGAAACAUUCAGCUGCAGCAGUUGAUAUUAUGAGAACCUUACUAAACUUAAAAUCUGUUGAUGUGACUGAGUUGUGGAGUUGUAAAGAGGUUGUUGAGUUAGAUUUGAGCUCAAACGGAGAAGUGCUUUCUUUGCUUUAUCUGAAUGGUCAGGUCUUGAGUGGACACUCUGAUGGAACUAUCAAGGUAUGGGAUGCAAGGAAGAGAAUACCAAGAAUCAUUCAAGAAACUCGCGAGCACACAAAAGCUGUAACUUCUCUGUGUUCUUCAGGUGAUAGACUCUACAGUGGUUCCUUAGACAAAACCAUCCGGGUUUGGACUAUCAAAGCCAAUGAGAUUAUAUGUAUAGAUGUUCAUGAUGUGAAGGAGGCAGUGUAUGAGUUAACAGCAAAUGCUAGAUUGGCAUGCUAUGUGUCUCAAGGAACUGGAGCCAAGGUUUAUAAUUGGUCAGAGGCUCCAAAGCAUAUCAAUUUCAGCAAGUAUGUGAAAUGCCUUGCUGUUGCCGGCGACAAAUUGUAUUGCGGCUGCUCCGGUUACAGCAUUCAGGAGGUUGACUUGUCCAAACAUACAUCAUAUUCAUUCUUCUCUGGUACAAGAAAAUUAUUGGGAAAACAAACCAUACACGCCCUUCAAAUUCAUGAUGGUUUCCUCUAUGCCUGUGGAUCUUCUGUUGAUGCAACUGCAGGAAAGAUAUUUUCACUCUCCACCAAAAUGGUAGUAGGAUCACUAUCGACUGGACUCGACAUCCAUCGUGUAGCCAUCAACAAUGACUUCAUAUUUGCAGGUACGAAGUUCGGCACCAUUGAGGUUUGGCUGAAAGAUAAGUUCACCCGGGUUGCUUCCAUCAAAAUGGCUGGUGGUAACACAAAAAUCACAUCAUUAGUAUCAGAUGCGGAUGGUAUGAUGCUUUUUGUUGGUUCCUCUGAUGGAAAGAUCCAGGUUUGGGCCUUGGAUUAAGCACAUGAAACAAAAAGUAUAAUAAUCCUUUUGCCACAUGUAAAUGAAUUGUUUAUGAGCAUCUCAUAUGAUGGUUAAUGGAGCAUGUGCAGAUUGAGCUAUAUAGUAUGUGGGAAAAAACAUCAAAUUCCAACUAUGAAGUGAGACCAAGACAAUUUUGAAGUGAAACUUUGAUACAAGAUCUAUGUUUGGUCCACCACAACUGUGUUUGAUUCACAAAUGAGCAAUUCUUAUAAUGAAAAUUCCUUAAUCAACCACAAUACUAUAUUUGGGGGCCAAAUAGGCAUAUUCUUAUCCCAUAAAAGUUAACAUCA